GAUUGGAGCAAUUCAGGCGGUGUCUCGUGAGGCUUAUUUCACUGCAAUUGAAGGUAGUGGAUUUGAUUCAAGUGAUGUGCCGCCAGAGCUGUCUACUGAUUCCAAGAAGCGCCACCGAUUCCCUGACCUCAAAGGUACGUUUAUCCACCAGUAUUGGCGAAUGGGAAUUCCGCUGUUAUUUUGUCAUCUUAAUAGGAUGUUGAAGUUUUUGGUUCAGCGAUCCGUUUGGUUCCAUUUUCUGUAUUUUCCCAUCUCUUACAUAGCUAUUUUUAGCUUUUCAGGAGAAACCAACCGAAAUUCUCUUGAAGCCUUGGUGAGUUCUGAACCAUCAAUUCUAUAAGAACUUAUUCAUAAUUGGAACUUGGCAAAAGAUUUAUGUUGUGUUGCUUUCUCUAAAAUUCGCCUGUUGUUGUUUUGUAGGUGAAGAGCACGGGAAAAGAAUCAUUACAGUGGGGUGAGUAUUUGUGACUCGUAUUUGUAUACAUGUUGGCCUUCUCUCUUCUGGGUUUUGUCAAAAAUGAAUUUAUAUCAUUAAAAUUAUACUUUAAUUCGAUCAUAAUUAUGAAUUGUGUGACAAUCAUUUGUUUUGGAUGCUGCAGGACUGGCUGCUGGGGUGUAUUCAGGUCUCACUUAUGGGCUAAGAGAGGCUCGUGGAGCUCAUGAUUGGGUAAUUAAUUUUUCUCGUGUAUAAUCUAUAUGCACUGUAUAUAUGACAAUGGCUGUGGUAAAAUCCUAGUUACUAAAUGGUGCAUAUUGACACAAUAAGUUACCCAGUAAGUUAAAACCUCAUCGGUAGUUUGGUCGUGGACGGCUUGAGAUUUAGUUGGAGCCAAAUAAAAUAAAAUUAAAUAAAGUUAAGUUCAUUUUCCAUAUAGUCUUUGGGUGCAUCAUCCUAUGUAAUAGUUUAUUUUCAUGGUAAAAACAUGGCACUACUAGUUUUUACAUCUCUUUUGUCCGAGAUAUAUUGAAGUGCAUAAUCAUUAUUAUAAUCAUGAUAUUUUAUUGCUUAAUUCAAUACAGAAAAAUAGUGCAGUGGCUGGAGCUAUAACAGGCAUGGCAUUGGCACUUACAACAGAUGAUGUCUCCCAUGAUCAUGUAGUUCAAUGUGCUAUCACUGGAGCCGCAAUUUCCACUGCUGCAAAUCUUCUAACUGGGAUAUUCUGAACCUCGAAUAAUGUCUCAAAAUGCGGCUGCUACUUAAUUUAUAGUUUAAUCCAUAACAUAAUUGCUUAUUUCUUGAGCAUGCACUGCCUUGGAUUUCUCUUUUGAACUGAUAUUUUCUAUCAUAAUGGUGAUUAAAAUGCUUGAAUAUUUUGGCCUUCCUGUUUGAUAAAGGCAAAUGGUUCAUUUGUAGAUGAUUGUUGAAUCUAAUAACGUUGCUUAAAUCUUGAUCUUAUGUUAAAAUGUUGAGCUUUGAGCAUGUGGCAUGCAAGCUUCAAGUAUAGAAUAGCUAUCUGGAGUAAUAUUUUGUAGCCCAAUGGUCUGCAGUAGCCCACUGUAGCUUUGUUUGGUUGGAAAAGAAAAGAACAAAUAAAACCCAGAUGAUGUAAUUGUAAGGAUGUGAGCUAAGGUGCAUUUCAGCACCGACUAGCGUUCAACACUUGUUCUGUUUCAGAAAGUUUCUU
rnacentral:misc_RNA from 1 species